rnacentral:rRNA from 1 species
UACGUAGGUGGCAAGCGUUGUCCGGAAUUACUGGGCGUAAAGCGUGCGCAGGCGGUUUUGUAAGUCUGUUGUGAAAGCCCCGGGCUCAACCUGGGAAUUGCAUUUGAGACUGCGUAGCUAGGGUGCGGAAGAGGGAAGCGGAAUUUCCGGUGUAGCGGUGAAAUGCGUAGAUAUCGGAAGGAACACCAGUGGCGAAAGCGGCUUCCUGGUCCAGCACCGACGUUCAGGCACGAAAGCGUGGGGGGCAAACAGG